UUGAACGGAGCCUUUGCCGAAAGAUUUUUCACCCAUGAUAAUUGCCCGCUUAUGGUCUUGCAGCGCACCGGCCAAAAUUUCCGAGGCCGAGGCCGAACCGUCAUUGAUCAACACCACAAUCGGCAGCCCUUCGGCAAUGUCGCCUUUGGUGGCAUUGUAUUUUAAGGUUUCUUCCUCAUUGCGCGAACGGGUGGAAACAAUUUCCCCUUUGUCAAGGAACAGAUCGGAAACGGCCACCGCCUGAUCCAACAAGCCGCCGGGAUUGUUGCGUA
rnacentral:ncRNA from 1 species